rnacentral:rRNA from 1 species
UACAGAGGUCUCAAGCGUUGUUCGGAUUCAUUGGGCGUAAAGGGUGCGUAGGUGGCGAUGUAAGUUUGGUGUGAAAUUUUGGGGCUCAACCUCAAAACUGCAUUGAAUACUGCAUUGCUUGAGGAUUGUAGAGGAGAGUGGAAUUCACGGUGUAGCAGUGAAAUGCGUAGAUAUCGUGAGGAAGACCAGUUGCGAAGGCGACUCUCUGGGCAAUUCCUGACACUGCGGCACGAAGGCCAGGGGAGCAAACGGG